UGGAGUGUAGCUCAGUGAUAGAGUGCUUAUCUAGCAUACUCAAGGCCCUGGGUUUAAUUCCCAGCACCACAA
rnacentral:tRNA from 1 species